CCCCCAGAGGUCACGCUGGUGGGACGAGUGUUCGUGCGGUCCUCCUCUUCAUCGGUGUGGAAGGAGCAAUCAACAAAGUCCUAGGUCCGCUGAUGGUCCACAAUGGCUUGCCUAGUGUCUGUAGCCUUCUUGUGUUGGAGAAGAGAUUACACCUCUUGUGAUGUCAAGUCUGACCCUGAAGAAGAACCAGAAGCCCGAGUCCCUGUCCCGGGGGCCUACAAUCUGACUGGGACAGAUGGGACCUGCUGGGGAGCCCGAAGGAGGGAAGAAGAUCCCCGCCCCCACGCCUGCAGCAGGACAGAGUAGCCUCUCGGAGGGGAACAGACCAGGCCCGGCAGCGCCGUGGGAGAACCGUGAGAUAAGGACUAUCUAAUAGCAUUGUGUGUCGGCCAUCUGUGGGGUGCGGAGCUGGGGCAGAGGCAGCGAGAGCCCUCUAUCCAGGACAGCCGGGAUUGCAGCUCCUGCGUGGCUACGUUCGAAGAGCUCGGCAAGCGGGUGCUGUCUGGACGCAGACUGCGCUGGGAAAACCGGUUGGACGGGAGGGGCUGAACCGGAGCAUUGGGAAGGGUUCUCGGGGGAGAGGCUGCUCUGUCCUGGAGGGAGGGGAGAACCGAGGAGUAUGAGCAAGGCAGGGUCACCCUAUAGCUGCCCUUCAUUCAGAGGGAGGAAGGGGAAGCCAACAUGGGAUAUGGCUAUUUCUUAGCUGUCCUGUUGCCAUAAUACUUUGCUGCUAAUCACCUGAUACAGGCACCACAGAACGCUCACAACUCUCUGUGAAGCAGCAGGUAGAUGCAUGUUGUCUGUUGUACAGGCAGGGAAACUGAGGCACGGUGACUUGGGGGUGGAGCUGGGAAUAGAACGCAGGAGUCCUAGAGCUCAGUCCCCUGCUCUAACUUGCUUCUUGCUCAAACGUAGCCUUUUUAAACAAGCCGCCAAACGAUGUCUCAGGGCCUUCUUCUAAAGUAUAUGUUAUGCGUGAAAGGGAUCGUUAAUAAUGUAAAUGGUGAUAGCAUUUCCAUAGCACUUGGCAUGUUCAAAGCACUUGGCAGACGUUAACUAAUUAGUCCUCAGAGCACCCUGUGAGGAAGGUAGGUUUGUAUCCUCAUUAUACAGAUGGGGAAACU